AUCACAUAAAAAUCUGCUAUAACUUUUUGUUUUCCUUCUCUCUACCUCUUUUGGUUAGAAGCCAUACAGCUUUAUAAAGUUUCAUGCUCAAAAUUGGGAGUAAAAUGGCUCUGUGUCUGCACUUACUAGGAUUGUGUAGAAGUGUGAAUACAAAGAUUUUAUACAAGCCAAUAUUAUUGCAAUUAUAAAAUCACUUCAAUUUAUCUCUCAUUAUUGAAGUGUGAAUACAAAAAUUGUAAGCUAAUAAUCACAAGAACUAAAUAUUAGAUCAUUUAUGAAAAUAUUU